CAUGACCUCAAAAAAGCAAUUCACACCAGACAUCCCAAGAAUAUUGCUGAACUGAAACAGUUCUGUAAAGAGGAAUGGUCAAGAAUUACUCCUGACCGUUGUGCACGUCUGAUCUGCAACUACAGGAAACGUUUGAAGUUAUUGCGGCCAAAGGGGGUUCAACCAGUUAUUAAAUCCAAGGGUUCACAUACUUUUUCCACCUGCACUGUGAAUGUUUACAUGGGGUGUUCAAUAAAAACAUGGCAACAUUUCAUUCUUUGUGUGAUUAGUUUAAGCAGACUGUGAUUGUCUAUUGUUGUGACUUAGAUUAUGAUCAGAUCACAUUUUAUGACCAAUUUGUGCAGAAAUCCAUUUCAUUCCAAAGGGUUCACAUACUUUUUCUUGCAACUGUAUAUAUACAGAAACACCCUGUAUGCAGUAGCACAACAACUUUGCUUUUUU